CACUAGCCCAGAUGGGAACGGCAUCCUUUUAUGGUCUCGUUCCAAAACGAGACCAUAAAAGAUAUAGUGUACAGCUGGAAUAAGC
rnacentral:sRNA from 1 species